AAAAAUUAAACUGUAAACCAAAAACCUUUCUAUUAUUAUCAGCUAAAAUCAAGGUCCCAUAUUUUAUUGACUGUCAACUAUCUAAUAUGCUUUAUCUCUAGUCUCAGCUGGGCCCUCCCUGACCUGAGCUGUUCCAGGAGAAAUGGGCAUCUCUGAACGCUGGUGAAAAUUGGAACAUCAAUGUGUCCUCGAAGCAAAUCUGUGAAGUGUCCUGGGAGAACUGCAAAAUUGAGAAUCCUUUCCGUGAGGUUCUCCAAAGUAAAUGUGGUCACAUCUGGAGAUGGACAAC
rnacentral:lncRNA from 1 species